rnacentral:tRNA from 1 species
GCAGGCGUAGUUUAGUGGCAGAACUUCAGCUUCCCAAGCUGACUGUGCGGGUUCGAUUCCCGUCGCUUGCUCCA